GCAGUCGCCACGGUAAUACAGAGGGUGCGAGCGUUAAUCGGAUUUACUGGGCGUAAAGCGUGCGUAGGCGGCUUUUUAAGUCGGAUGUGAAAUCCCUGAGCUUAACUUAGGAAUUGCAUUCGAUACUGGGAAGCUAGAGUAUGGGAGAGGAUGGUAGAAUUCCAGGUGUAGCGGUGAAAUGCGUAGAGAUCUGGAGGAAUACCGAUGGCGAAGGCAGCCAUCUGGCCUAAUACUGACGCUGAGGUACGAAAGCAUGGGGAGCAAACAGGAUUAGAUACCCCGGUAGUCCCUGUCUCUUAUAC
rnacentral:rRNA from 1 species